rnacentral:rRNA from 1 species
AUUGAACGCUGGCGGCAGGCCUAACACAUGCAAGUCGAGCGGUAGCACAGAAGAGCUUGCUCUUUGGGUGACGAGCGGCGGACGGGUGAGUAAUGUCUGGGAAACUGCCCGAUGGAGGGGGAUAACUACUGGAAACGGUAGCUAAUACCGCAUAACCUCGCAAGAGCAAAGAGGGGGACCUUUGGGCCUCUCGCCAUCAGAUGUGCCCAGAUGGGAUUAGCUAGUAGGUGAGGUAAUGGCUCACCUAGGCGACGAUCCCUAGCUGGUCUGAGGGGAUGACCAGCCAAGCUGGAACUGAGACACGGUCCAGACUCCUACGGGGGGCAGCAGUGGGGAAUAUUGCACAAUGGGCGCAAGCCUGAUGCAGCCAUGCCGCGUGUGUGAAGAAGGCCUUCGGGUUGUAAAGCACUUUCAGCGGGGAGGAAGGCGGUAAGGUUAAUAACCUUAUCGAUUGACGUUACCCGCAGAAGAAGCACCGGCUAACUCCGUGCCAGCCGCCGCAGUAA